GUUUUCACUAAUCUCAAAAAGGAUGGGAGUAUUUCAACGGUAGUUUCUACUACAUUUCUUCUACCAAGAAAACCUGGCAAGAGAGUAGAGAUGACUGUCUUCAAAAGGGUGCAGACCUGCUGAUUAUCAACAGCAAAGAAGAACAUGAUUUCACAAGAAAAUUUCAGAAGAGACUGUGGAUUGGCCUGACUGACUCAGAGACAGAGGGGACGUGGAAAUGGGUGGAUGGGACUCCACUGACCAAAAGCUACUGGGGUUCUGGGGAGCCUAACGAUGAGAACAGUGAAAACUGUGUGGAAAUACGUUAUUAUGAUUCAAAAAACAGCUGGAAUGAUGUCAGCUGUUCCUUUCUACUCAACUGGAUCUGUGAAAGGAAAGACCGUCCAUAACUCUGCAACCAAACCCACCAGACAGAAAACUAAGGACGAUAAAUAUAUUGUUGAUACAAUUUAAAUCUUCACAAAAGCAACAUGAAUAUGCUCAUGUGGACACAUCAUUUCCAAGUGAAAAUCAUUUCCAGCUCAGUGUGGGAUAAUCUGAAGCCUGGUUAUUUGCGCUGCAGUAAAGUGACCUGUUAACACAUAGAAACAAAUGUCCAACGAGGUCCACUGCUUUGGCUGAAAAAAAGAAGAAAAAAACUACAAUAUGUUAUACAUGCUUUGAUUUAUUGCUUGCUGAAUGAAUAUAUAAAUGUUUAUGGGUGGGAGGGGGGAUGUGUGCAUCUGGCCACAUCACAGGGGGGUCUAGUCCUGUCUCAUUGGUUUAGUUAUGACCUUGUGUUGUGAAGGCAGCCUCUUUAACACAUCUCAAGGUACAGUUAAAAGGAUGGUUGUGGAGGAAAGAAUGGGAAGUCGUUAAUUUAAGAGAAUGUCUGUACUAGAAAAUGGGUGGUUUGUUUAUUUUCUAUUUUCACAUUGACUUAUGAGCAUUUUUUGUUAUUAUUACGUGUCUGAUGAUUUCUUUUUAUCCAUCAAGAUGUUAUUUUAGUAUCUUGUCACAUUUCAUUAUCUUGUCAACAAGUACGUCAGCAGAUACUUCCAUUAUAUUCAAAGUGCCUUCAUGUGUUUGUUAGGAUGUACAUUUUGGUCAUUGUGAAAUGAAAUGUUUUUGUAUGUUAUGUGGAGAAUACAAUAAAUAUAUUUGUCCUAGUUAACAUCA